GAAAUAGCUGGAGAACUAUUUUUAAGACGUCCAUGCGGUUAGACGUUUCGAAAACAAAUUUCGAGCAAAUCUUCGGCAUUCACAAAGGAUGUGGCUCAUAUUCGUGUACUCAUUGCUGUAAAUGGAAUGAGUACACUUUAAAUCUUUUGACAAGGACCAAUUGGAAGACAAGUCUAGCAUCAGCAGCCACAAUAACUCUCGCUCCAAUGGCGUAUGUAAAGAAGUAAAACCUUUGUAGUUAAACUUAUGCUUCAUACAGGCAGUACAACAACAACUAUAGGUUGUACUACCCCUUUUAGGCGUUUUACCGAUGGAGUUUUAAUAAUACUUGUAUUCUUUGCAUAUUCCCCACAAUUAAACUAGAGCCAAUGCUGUUCAUCGUGUGUGCUUUGGGCUUAUAGCAGGCUUCUAAUGCUUAAAUAUUUUGGAUAUUGAAUAUUUUGAAUGGUUAAAUAUUUUUUGCAUGGAAUAAUGAAAUAAGACCUCUGUUCUACUUUCAUUGGUUUUUAGAUCAUAGUAGUAAAUGGAGGCAUUAAUGUGGCGAUGUGCGAGAUAUGAAUUUCUUGGGUCGUUGUAAGACUAACUUAAUCGAAAGCAAUUGGUAAAGGUGCUUUUACUAAUCAAAAACAAAAGUUAGAGGUUCGAAGGCGAUGAAAUAUUGCUCUUCUUUUAACCAAGCUAGCAAUUAAAAGUAGCUUCCCCGGGAAUGAAAGCUUUUGAACUCCUGGGAUGGUAUGGUUGCAAUCUGAAGGAAUUGACAGAAGGGCAUCAACAGAAAAAGAGCCUGCGACUUAAUUUGGUUCAACAUGGGAAAACUUACCAGGUUCGAGCAUAAGUGUGUAAGAAAAAUUGAUAACUCUUUCUCGAAUUUAUGGGUGGCAGUAUAUGGUCGCUCAUAGUUCGUGAAGUGAUUUGUAGGGUUAUUUUCGAUAACGAACCAGACGGAAGUAUACUAAACAUAUACUUUCAGGAUUAUGAUGUUGAAGCUUCAUUUACGAACGCAGCAAUAUGUGUGAGUGCUUCAAUGUGUCUGUAAAAAUGGAGCGGUACCUUAUAUGAGGCACUUGUCUUUUAAAUAGAAAAAUUGGAUUUAACAAUAGUGAGAUUGAAGUGUAACAGGUCUGCGAAGCCUUUAGAUAUCUUGGGCUGAUGUCCGCGCUACAGUGAAAGUAUCAACGUGCACUUCCUAAGCCAAGGGGUCCGGGUAAGCCGCUGAACUAUUUUCAUGAUUGGAAUUAUGAACUGCAGCUGUUCACAUGUUCCCAAUAAGUGUGAAUCAUUAAAUUGCGCUGAUUCUGUCUCUUCUCUUUGCACACACUGCUUUGUACUGCAGGUUGAAUUCUUUAGUGAAAUCUCGGAAUGUGAUCACCAUAAUGCAUUUUAUGUGUUGUGAACUUGAUUAUUUAGAGCAAGUAAAAGUCUUAAGCGUAAGACCUUGU
rnacentral:ncRNA from 1 species